UCAGGUCCGACAGGAUAGGUCAAGAUGUACUUCAUUGCCUUCCCAACAUCAUAUUUAGUAGAACGGGGCUUCAGUGCAGUCACCUUGCUUCUUUCCAAGCAAAGAAACCGACUGAAAAUUACUGACCGCGGGGAUCUACGACUUCUUCUUAGUGAGUUCCAGCCUGAUGUUGAGAAGCUUAUGUCCCUGCACCAAGCACAUC